rnacentral:lncRNA from 1 species
CUAACUUGAAUGAAGCUCCCUCCAUAAAAACAUUUAUUAACAAUUAAUUAUAUUAAAUAAAAAAGAAUAUUAAAGGGAAAUAAAAUAUAAAUAUUACCCAUUGUAGAGAAACAUAUAUGAUUAAAUUCGACACCCACUCGAUUCCAAUAGAUAAUAAUGACAGUAGUAGAAAGGGAAUUAACAAGCUCCCUAAAAAUUAAAUAGGUACAUAUCAUGGGCAUGGAAUAACUGCUAGUAGAUGAAAGAAACUACUAGCAGUCGCGUUUAUAUAAUUCAAUAGAUAACACCUACCGAAACGGAAUUGACAACCUUGCACAAAAUAUAAUCUACCGCACAAAAUAUAAUCUACCAUGAGUAUUAUAUGAUUCAAUUCGACACCCACUCGAUUCCAAUAGAUGAUAAUGACAGUAGUAGAAAGGGAAUUAACAAGCUCCCUAAAAAUUAAAUAGGUACAUAUCAUGGGCAUGGAAUAACUGCUAGCAGUCGCGUUUGUACUGCGACCCGCACUUCCGUGUAUUAUCAGGACCCUUAGGCACGCAGUAUCGAUUACCUCGGCCGCAACCAAACACUGGUUUCUGACGAAUGAGAGGAUCAACUCCGGCAUUGCGAGAGCCAAGAAUCCUGUUGAUUUCAGAAUCCAUCAUGAACUCCAAAUCUAAGUUGGAAUCAGCUAUGGAGUACAAGGGGACGUCACCGUCCAUUUCCGGCAGUGAAAUACUAGCACCGCAACUUUUUGUGUUGAGCAGCAUCAUCGUCAACAACAACGACGACAAUGUUAGAGCUGACAAGGAAAGGCUCUUCAUGGUAUCUCUUUUAUUUUUAGCUAGCUCUUCUUAACGCUGUCUAUCUAAUCACCUAUAUAUAAAAGCAAGCAUCUAACUCUCUGUAUAUAUAUGGGAGAGUGGCGGUGUUGAAGG